ACGGGAGGCAGCAGUGGGGAAUACUGCACAAUGGGGGAAACCCUGAUGCAGCGACGCCGCGUGAGCGGUGAAGUAUUUCGGUAUGUAAAGCUCUAUCAGCAGGGAAGAUAAUGACGGUACCUGACUAAGAAGCCCCGGCUAACUACGUGCCAGCAGCCGCGGUAAUACGUAGGGGGCAAGCGUUAUCCGGAUUUACUGGGUGUAAAGGGAGCGCAGGCGGUUUUUUAAGUCUGAUGUGAAAGCCCGUGGCUCAACUGCGGGACUGCAUUGGAAACUGGAGAACUAGAGUGUCGGAGGGGCAAGUGGAAUUCCUAGUGUAGCGGUGAAAUGCGUAGAUAUUAGGAGGAACACCGGUGGCGAAGGCGGCUUACUGGACGAUAACUGACGUUGAGGCUCGAAAGCGAGGGGAGCAAACAGGAUUAGAUACCCUGGUA
rnacentral:rRNA from 1 species